UCAUGCCUCAUGGUCGUCGUGUUUCCUGUCUCCAGCUAGACUGCAGUGUAUCUCAUGAUGAUUCAUGAGUCGCAGUACUGCAUCUUCGCUGCAAGUGUUGCCUCGGCGAUGCAUGAUGUUACCUCUGACUCUGAGUGGCUAGAAAAUUAUUGUCAGAACAUGCCAGUUUGCGGCAAGCGGCGCGCACAGUCCGUAGUAGGUAACGUAAUUACCAUGAUUACGAACGGAUGCAGAAGCUCACAAUCUCUACGUUUCACUGCCAUCACCGUUCAAGGGGAGAGAUACCGUCCUUACCCGUCUACUCCUUAUCGACUUGGACCUAGGAUAAAAGCUAUACAACGAGAUGAGGAUGGUCAUUGUCAGUUUCUGGGCUGCGAACAGGCAGAAAGCUAUACAACGAGAUGAGGAUGGUGAUUGUCAGUUUCUGAGCUGCUAAUGGGCACAAAGGCACCCGGAUCACCGCAAGCGUCCAGACGUUGAUCACUUGGUGCAACGGCUUAGCCAUACGGCCGUCCUACUCGCCCCGGUGCCUCAGUCCAGUCCAUUACCCAGGCAAGCAUACUCUAUUGGCGCACCGUUACACGCAAGUGAGAACAUGUAUGAAGAUAUGCAAGUGAUAUACUGCUUGCAGUCAAGACCUCGCCACUCUCCAUGACGUCACAAGAGUUCCUGGGAAGUGAUGGUGAUGUCAUGGCUGUGUGUAUAGUAUAAUAUACUGUACACCAUGAUAUGGAAGUGUGUUGUAUACAAUAUUAUUGUAUACAACACACGUCCAUAUCAUGGUGAAUGAUCUCAGUGUGUGGUAUCCGCACAUGCUGGUCGGGAACUGAGAAUACAGCAUGUCAGUAUUGAUGCAAUGCAAUUGGAACUUGACUUGAUAUUGCAUACGAAUUAUACUCAAUUCGACUCUUGGUCUCCCCCACAAUGUUUCGAAAAAUGAACGUGUGUGUCCCACGCAGGGAGUAACACAAACGUUCACUAUUUUCUGUCUUGAUAACAAUUAAUAUAUUGAGCGUUCUUAGAUUCAAGCCUGGCUAUUUAUGAGAACACAGUUUGUCCCGACCGAGUACAUGUAUCAUAUCCGUGCUAUUUUUUUCACCUUCCCCCUUUUCAUUCACUUAAUUAAAUACAUGUACGUCGAUUUUUGAUGAGGUAUUCAGCAUGCUGGCAGUUUGGAGAGAAAUUCAGUACUACAUUAAUCUAACUAAGUCUUAAUAUCUCACACACUCACAUCUGGCAUUUGCUUGGACUUGUACACUGUUCAUUCGUAUUAUUAUUAUUAUUGUUUGCAUCCUCAUAUUGAUGCUGGAUGCUAAGUCCUGAGUUCCGCUUAUGCUGCAUGGCUUUCAUGAGAGGAGCCAUAGGAGUAAACAUCCACAUAGUUCUGAUUACCUGUGCAUUAGAGUGGAUUCACCUUUC